AGAGUUUGAUCAUGGCUCAGGAUGAACGCUGGCGGUAUGCUUAACACAUGCAAGUCGAACGAAGUGCUUCGGCACUUAGUGGCGGACGGGUGAGUAACGCGUGAGAAUCUGCCAAAAGGACUGGGACAACAGCUGGAAACGGCUGCUAAUACCGGAUAUGCCAGAAAGUGAAAUGGGUAAAACCGCCUUUUGAUGAGCUCGCGUCCGAUUAGCUAGUUGGUGGGGUAAAAGCCUACCAAGGCGACGAUCGGUAACUGGUCUGAGAGGAUGACCAGUCACACUGGGACUGAGACACGGCCCAGACUCCUACGGGAGGCAGCAGUGGGGAAUUUUCCGCAAUGGGCGAAAGCCUGACGGAGCAAUACCGCGUGAGGGAGGAAGGCUCUUGGGUUGUAAACCUCUUUUCUCAGGGAAGAACACAAUGACGGUACCUGAGGAAUCAGCAUCGGCUAACUCCGUGCCAGCAGCCGCGGUAAUACGGAGGAUGCAAGCGUUAUCCGGAAUGAUUGGGCGUAAAGCGUCCGCAGGUGGCUUUGCAAGUCUGCUGUCAAAGCUCAGGGCUUAACCCUGAAUCGGCGGUGGAAACUGAAAGGCUAGAGUGUGGUAGGGGCAGAGGGAAUUCCCAGUGUAGCGGUGAAAUGUGUAGAGAUUGGGAAGAACACCAGUGGCGAAAGCGCUCUGCUAGACCGCAACUGACACUCAUGGACGAAAGCUAGGGGAGCGAAUGGGAUUAGAUACCCCCGUAGUCC
rnacentral:rRNA from 1 species